GAUGAAGAACGCAGCGAAAUGCGAUACUUGGUGUGAAUUGCAGAAUCCCGUGAACCAUCGAGUCUUUGAACGCAAGUUGCGCCUCAAGCCAUUAGGUUGAGGGCACGUCUGCCUGGGCGUCACAUAUCGUUGCCUGAUGCCAGUUUCCUCGUGAUGGGUGACUGUGCAGGGCGAAUGAUGGCUUCCCGUGAGCAUUGUUGCCUCAUGGUUGGUUGAAAAUUGAGUCCUUGGUAGGGAGCGCCGUGAUAGAUGGUGGUUGAGUGACGAACGAGACCCAAUCAUGUGAGACCCCUACCGAAUUUGGCCUUCAUGACCCACAUGCGUCUUUGGAACGCUCAUGACGAGACCUCAGGUCAGGCGGGGCUACCCGCUGAGUUUAAGCAUAUCGAUAAGCGGAGGA
rnacentral:misc_RNA from 1 species